UCUUAGUAAUAAAAGAUGGAGAUAUAAGCGAGUGAGCCCAAGUGCUACAAGCUGCCGAAGAGAAAUGGAGAAUUACACUCAGGAGUUGAGGACUGGUGUUGAUGAGGUGACUAUGAUAGGCCUGAGAAGCAUCAGAAGCUCCUGUGGAAGUGUGCACUUGAAAAAAAAAAGGAUGAUAUGGAUGUGUUUUUCUAACAAGUGAACGUUACUAUGCCAGAUCCCCUUAACCCUGACGAUCCAUUUAUGAUGGCCUUAUAGUAAUAUGUCACAGCCUGCUCAUCUCUGAUAGGUCUAAAUAUAGGGUUGUCACAUGUGGUGUGGUGUUAGACAGACUCAGAGUACGGAGAUGGCUUACCUCUGUUGAUGAUGAUAUCAUUAAUGAACUUUAGUUUUUAUCAUAUUCUUGACAAUGAUAUAAUGAAAUUCCUCAAUCUUUAGCAUCUUCCAAAUGAUACUAAAGUUCCUCGACUGCUCUGGCUCAGUAACUAAACAGAUGAAAGAAAGCACAAGUAUUAAAAGAUUCAUGUAUCAUAUCCUGGGCUUGCCAUGCCACGGUGAUCAACCAGCAUCUGGAGGAAGUAGACUAGGCUAAACUUGGUUUUGUCAGCAGCGGCGUCAGAAAGACAAUUUGACGCUAAUGUCUACAUGGCUACGUAAUCUACCUUACCUAAAGCCAUGAAAACAACGAGACUGAAAACUAGAUGAAUAAUUGGAACAAUAGUCAGGUU
rnacentral:lncRNA from 1 species